GCUGACAGCCGAGCCCCACAGCAGCUCAGCGUCGGGCCAGGAUCACCCAGCGUGAACGUCUGUGUCCGAGAGGAGGCUUGAAUCUCAUCUCGGACCGAGGGCCUAUAAAAGGCAGGAGCCUUGGGAAGCACAUCAGAGCACAUCGCUGACAGCCAAGCCCCACAGCAGCUCAGCGUUGGGCCAGGAUCACCCAGCGUGAACGUCUGUGUCCGUGAGGAGCCUCAGCACACACUUCAAUCUCCACCCCUUGGGAAGCACAUCAGAGGCAGCAGCGCUGACAGCCGAGCCCCACAGCAGCUCAGCGUCGGGCCAGGAUCACCCAGCGUGAACGUCUGUGUCCGAG